AAAUAGCCUCAGACUGCCUCUUGCCCUCUGCUCUGCACUCCCAGGUGUUCUUUUUGUCACUCCCUGUGCUUGCCCCAUAAAGAUGGAGCCAGGUCCAAAGGAUAGAAAGUUCCCCAGCCGUCUCCCCUUUUUCCUCCCCGCUGCCACGUGCCCCAGACCUCCAGCCCCUUCCUAGACCCUCAGGGAGCAGCCACAAGGUCCCCCAAAUGCAGAAUGGGGAGGCCUCAGCCCCAGCAGGGCAUCACAGCGCAAGCUCACCCACUACCGGCGGCAGCCUUCUCCUCUGCUCCUCUCCUGUUUUCCCAUCUGUCUCUCUCCUUUUCUCACAUCCCCUCCCUGCCCCAGCAGCCCAUCCUCUCUCCUGCUGCUUCCCCUCCUGUUCCAUGCUUCUCUACAUUCCUGGCUACUC